rnacentral:rRNA from 1 species
UCGGCGACACACGUGCUACAAUGCCCACUACAAAGCGAGGCCACCCGGCAACGGGGAGCUAAUCGCAAAAAGGUGGGCCCAGUUCGGAUUGGGGUCUGCAACCCGACCCCAUGAAGCCGGAAUCGCUAGUAAUCGCGGAUCAGCCAUGCCGCGGUGAAUACGUUCCCGGGCCUU